rnacentral:tRNA from 1 species
GCGAGGGUAUCUAAUACCUCAAAGCCAAGCGGUUAAGGCGGGGGCCUGCAAAGCCUCUAUUCGCCGGUUCGAACACCGUUAUCCCAGAUGGAUAUGGCUCGAAAGUCCGGCUCCUCGCU